UCUUCCCUAUUUUUGGCUCUGACUCGUCCACGUACCCAUUAUCUCCCUUGUUUUCUCUUUACAGGUAAAAAACAAACAUCCCAGCGGUUUCUUCUCUGCAGAGGUCAGACCUACCUCCUGACACGGCUGAUAAAACAUAUUGACCUCAUUUCUGUGCCAUAUAUUCAAACCAGGACGAAUCAAGAGGCUGUUCAGGUUCAGGUUGUUUUAUGGCUGUGCUGUUUUUAUUGGUUGUUUUUUUUUUCUUGCUGUUACAGAUCCUUUUGAUAGAAAAUAAUCUCUUGUACUCUAUUAAUCCACGUCAAACCCAACAGAGUGAUCUGGAAUUAAAACACCUAUUUCUCAUUGAUACCAUUGCAGUGUAAGACGAUUGAUAUGAAGUAGGCUAAUCCUGGCUUUAAAUUACCAGCAGUUCUGUUUUUGCAUGCAUAAUUCAUCACGCUGGUGCUCGUGUUAUAAAUAUCAUAAUCAUAUAUGUCCUAUAUAAAAUGCCACUGCAGGCCUCAGAGCACACACCUCCUGAUUGCACAGUGCAGGAUGUUUGUCAUGAGCGUCAAGAGCGGCAGGUUUUAUUAAAUGAGCUGCUGAAACACCCAAGCUAACAACAGCUAACAGUUAGCAGCCAACGCCUAAUGUGGCUUUGAACCAAUGUCUGUUCAAAUUACAAUUUACUGGAAAUACUCUGAUAUAGUACAAAUAGGUCAUAAUUACAGAACUUCGGUAGGAGCACUUUGGUGUGUGCUGUUUCCAGCGUUCCUCCGUGUGAUAAGCUUCACCCAUCAGAUGGAGCUCGCUGUGUGGGCCCUUUGGACGAAUCUGCAUAACAAAUGCUUUAUCUUCAACGGGAAUGACCUUGUAGAGUUUGGGCAUUGAUCGGCACAUCGACUCAUCCAGCCUGAUAACUCCAAAACCCAUUUAUCAUAGGCAAAGUUUUAGCCUGCCGCGGCUACAUUUGCUGGCAGGAAAUCAAUCUAUUCUAAUCAGUUAAUACACUGACGGGUCAUGGCAGGAAUAUGUGAACAUGUACAGUACAAGCCAAAGCUCUGAUUAGAGAAGAUGGAAAUGUUGAGCAAUGAGAGCGAGGGGGAGAUAGGUCAAAUCGGAAAGACACAUAAUUCAGAGCAACGCGGCGCUAAUUCCCCAUCACGCGUCGUCAUUCCCUGAAUAAAUGUGAUUCUGAGGGAGGAAGCGUCUCCGGCGCCUGCUGGGCCCGUUUAGAAGCGUUCUGGCCGUUUCCCAUCCUCGCGGGGGGAGUGGAGGUGCACGCGGCCCUGCGAUCACAUACUGUAAUUCAGCCUCGGCUCACAGACAACAGAUGUUGCCGAUGGAGAGUUUCCCUCAAGGUUGGAACGUUUACGCAGGAUAAUGAAGCGGUCCCGUAAUGGAGCCGCCUGUUUGCUGGUGGGAUUACAGUAUGUGUGUGCGCUGGUUCAGGCAGGACCGACAGCCUCGCUUUGUCUCGCUGAUCAGGUUAUGGCCGCAUGAAGUCGUGUCCUAAUUAUAUGGUCUGUUUGCUAUGUUUGUGUAUCAUAUCCUCAUUAGCCUUUUGUUUGGGUGAAUAAAUAGCGCGCAGCAGAAUUACACUUGACAUCUUAGAACACAGCCUAUGUUACGUGUCAUUUGCAAUCACAGCUUAUGGCACUCACCGAGACAAAGUCAAUACCUCCUAAUGGAUGCAGGAAGUCUGUAACCUGUCCUGCGCUUAUCUGCUCCAAAUGUGACAGCACUAUUUAUUCAAGGAGGCUAAUCAGCAGCAGGAUGAUUAAAGCUUACAGUUUGGGUUGGGAAUCGAUGCCCGGCUUCAGGGGAGCAGCGCCUGCCACACUCAAAGUAAAGUAUAUUUGCAGUAGUAUCCCACUUUUAUUAAAUGGUCACAUUCUCUGGAUUGUAAGAAAAGCACUGCUUCACUUCCAGCAGCGGAGGCAGAUGGCCGCCCUUGAGUCCGCUGCAGUCUGCUGGAGCCUCUGUUCUCCGCUGUCAGCUUUCAAACUGCAGCAUGUCUGCCAACAACAGGCACCACAACACGAAGCAGGAAGCAACACCUGGUAGAAUAAAGACAAUAAUUAAACAUACAUCAAGCUUCAAAUUAGUUCAGAAAGGCUUCAUGGAGGAGGAAAUAUUUUCGUUAAGUGAUUUGGAAAUUCAAUUUCCAUGAACAUUUUUUACAGGUAAAUAAGAUGUUGGUUUCAGUGCAACCAUUUAUUCAUCUGUUCUAUGUGACUAAUGAAUAACAGAGGUGGACGUGUACUGAAGCCCGUGUGCAGAUGUGCUCGUCCACCCUGAACACGUCCCGUCGCUCUCCAGCAGCGUCACAGCGGCUGCUGCGAAGCCGCGUGACGUCAAGGUGACGCUCUGAAUCCCUCUCCUGCUGCCGUGCUCCUCCUCCUCCUCCUCCUCCUCCUUCUCGUCCUCCUCCUCCUCCUCCUCCCCCUCCUCCUCCUCCUGCGUUUGCUGGAUGUGACUUUGCUACUUCCAUUGGGGGCGUCUGGGCUGCAAACUGAGGGGGGGCUGUGCGUACAGUAAAUAAUGCUAAGAGUGUUUGUAACGUUUAAUGGCCCGCAGCCGGAGAUGAACUAUGUAACAACCUCACAGGAGCCAAACUCCCAAAGUGGAAGCUACGAAUGCUUGACGCCUCGUCUCUCUGUCCUCAGGUGCUGGUUUUGUGCUUGUUGUUUGUCUCUUUGAUGAAAUCUGUGCCCUUCUACAGUCAUUCCACGUGUUUUUUGCAGUUUUCCUUCACUUUCACUUGUUUCACUGUGUUUCUUUCGAUCAUUCAUCAUCUUUUUGUCAUUUUUCAUUUCGUUGUGGCCAUUUAGGUUAUUUUAUGACCCCUUGUUGCAUUUUGCAUCCCUUCAAAGUCGUUUCUUUUCUCCUUGUGUGUGUCUGAUUGAUUUUACCCAGCAAGUCAAUUUAUUCAUCCAUCCAUGACGCAAAUAAGAUCUAUCUAUCACCCCUCGACUCUGUCAGGGAGUUUGCAAUUAGGCACCAAGGGUGAGAUGUAUCCGACCCAAGGCCUCACCCUCCGGCUCUGCCCCGUCUGGAUUUCUGUUCUUUUCCUCUGUAGAAGUGGAGAAAUAGAAAGUGCAGCCAUCCUUUGAGAUCUCAUAAAUUCAAUGUAUUCAUAUUUCCCCGACUCAAAGUGCUUGGGAGUGCAUUCGCAGAGUCCAUAAGUCAAAACAUUGUCAGAGAGGCGAUAGUGAUGCAUGAGGACGCCGGUCCUCAGUUCAUUCCGGAGCAGGUACUCUCCGUCAGAUAAGCGCAACCUUAAUUCCUUCCGCUGGCCUAAUGUGUUUUUAAUGCAGCCCUGUGACUUAUGUUGCUGUCAGUCGGUUGGCCUCAUAGGGCCUCGUGGAUGCGAGUGGGCGGAAAGCGGCGACCAGGAAAAGGUGGCAAAGAUUAAUUGGAGCAGCGGCGGCAUCACGCGUUUGAUCAAAUCCGCAUUGACUGAAAUCACUGAGAGGCCUGAAUCUGGAAGAGGAGGAAAAUGCAGCAGCUCCGCUCGUCUCGGCCGCACGACGGAUGGGCUCCGCUUCCUCCAGUGUGCCUGCGAUCCAACACACAUUCACCCAAGGGGCGAUUUAUGCCAUCGAUGCCACGUGAAGGCCGGACGUUGUCUGGCUGCGGUGCAGUUUGCUACAAAUGUUAUUAAUUGUCUGCGUGUUUGUGCGAUUUGAGGAUUUAUUACAAAAUCGGUAGGGGGCAGUAAAUCAUGAGGGGAAAGUCAGCAACAAACACUCUUUAACUACAGGGAGUUCAUAACUUAUGAUUCUACUUUCUAAAACAUCCCCAAGGAGGUGAACAGGGCAGCUAAAGUCCCACUGUAUCUGCCACAAGCUGCAGGACUCUCCACACAGUGCGCCCACUAGUGGCCAGCAGAGGAACAGCAAGGAGCCGCUGCUCGCUGGGAGCUACAGAUUCCUCUCCACUACAUCCAAUGGAAAUGAUGGCCUAAAAUCCAACAUCCCGUUCAUACAUGUUUAAAUAUACUGGGGUUCAAUAAGUUGUUUUAAUGUGUAAAUGCUGCUAAAAUCCUGAUUGGUCCACGACUGCACGUGACACCGUCUUAGUCUUAUUGAGCCCAUCACCUUCAAUUCAUUCAAUCUGUCAUCUAGUUCAUCAGUAGUGGAUAAUAAACUAUGGCGAGCAAUGA